ACACUCCAUGCAACCACUUUCAAAUAUGAAAAUGGUACUGCCUUCCAGAGAAUAGGAUCUUUAGAAUUCUGCAUAUUUAUAUUAUCAUAUGCUAUGGCUGAUUCAAUUCUUCUGCCACUUUAUUCAAGAUGUUAUAAACUAUUCAUUUAUAGAGUGUGCCAUGAUAUCAUUUAGGCUUUAGUUCACAAACUUCACAAAUGCAAAUGCAGGCAAUAAAAAUUCUUGCCAGUACUCUGGUCCACCAGAAAAUCAGAACAUGCUUUAAAAAAUCAUUGAAAUGAAAACAAUAUAUUUAAAAUAAUCAUACCUUUAUAUGUACAGAGCUCCUAAAUAUUAGUAAAGAAAGAAGAAUAAUCUUAUCAGUGGAGGAAGAACAUAAAUUGGUAAGUUACCAAAAAAUGAAUUAAAAAACAGCAUACAGGCUGGGAGCAGUGGCUCAUGCCUGUAAUCUCAGCACUUUGGGAGGCUGAAGUGGGCAGAUCACUUGAGUCCAGGAGUUUAAGGCAACAUGGUAAGACCCUGUCUCUACAAAACCACAAAAAUUAGCCAGGUGUGGUGGUGCAUGCCUGUAGUCCCAGCUACUCAGAAGGCUGAGAUUGGAGGAUCGUUUGAGCCUGGGAGGCAGAGGUUGCAGUGAGCCGUGAUCAUCCCAUUGCACUCCAGUUAGGGUGACAGAGACAGCCCUGUCUCAAAAACAACCACCACCACCACAACAACGAUGGCAUAGAAACCUAUGAAAAGACUUCUGGUUAAGCAUGGUAAGUUGAACAUACAUAUUUGUCUUUCUUCCCCCUCAUACUGCCUACUAAAAUUGCAGAAAGAAAGAAACAAGUAUAAUUCCACAAUAUGAGAGAAAAGAUCUCAAAUGAGUGAUGUGGACGUCAUUUUGGAAGCUGGAGAGCAGAUAGACCAAUGGCACUUGACUCAGUAGUCAGAGCAGAACCUGAGACCACAAGAGCGGGCAGUGGGAAUGGGCAAGGAAGCCAAGAAGAAGCAAACCAAUUCUAACUACAGCUCCAAAAAGGCACCGGGAUUGGAGGUUCCAGUUUUUUGAGACAGGUUCUCACUCUGCUGCCCAGACUGCAGUGCAAUGGCGCGAUCCUGGCUCACUGCAACCUCCGCCUCCUGGGCUCAAGCCAUCCUCCCAUCUCAGCCUCCAGAGUAGCUGGGACUACAGGUGCACAUCACCAUGCCCAGCUAAGUUGUUUUUUUGGUUUUUUUUUUUUUUUGUAGAGAUGGAGUUUUGCCAUGUUGGCCCAGGCUGGUCUCAAACUCCUGGGCUCAAGCGAUCCACAUGCCUUGGCCCCUCAAAGUGCUGGGAUUACAGGUGUGAGCCACUAUGCCCAGCCUAAGAUUUUUAAAAAAAUUCUCUUAGAUAUAUUGAAGAUGAAAGGUGCAUAAAAUACUAAACAAGUGAAAUAUGGGGCAAUUAAUAACUCUAGGGAAAAUGAACACAAGGAAAUGUAUUAUAGCAUGCAAUAUAGCUUCCUUUGUAAAUAACAUCUACAUGGACAUAAUUUUUAAGAACAUACUAUAUUGAUUUAACCAAAAAAUAGUCAUCUAAUUAUUAAUAUAUUGGGAAGAUGAAGGAAGUAUAUGGUAAAGGGUAGGGCUAGAAGAACAAUAUAGGGGAUCUAACGCCACAUCUUCCACGGUGGAAAGUCAACUGAUAGGUAAGAAGAAGUAGGAACUGAAAAACUAGAAUUUGUGUUACAAGUAUUUUAUUUAGAAAAGAAGAUAGGGUUGGGCACAGUGGUUCACA
rnacentral:lncRNA from 10 species